AUUGAACGCUGGCGGAAUGCUUUACACAUGCAAGUCGAACGGUAACAGGUCUUCGGAUGCUGACGAGUGGCGAACGGGUGAGUAAUAUAUCGGAACGUGCCCAGUCGUGGGGGAUAACGUAGCGAAAGUUACGCUAAUACCGCAUACGAUCUAAGGAUGAAAGCGGGGGAUCGCAAGACCUCGCGCGAUUGGAGCGGCCGAUAUCAGAUUAGGUAGUUGGUGGGGUAAAGGCUCACCAAGCCAACGAUCUGCAGCUGGUCUGAGAGGACGACCAGCCACACUGGAACUGAGACACGGUCCAGACUCCUACGGGAGGCAGCAGUGGGGAAUUUUGGACAAUGGACGCAAGUCUGAUCCAGCCAUUCCGCGUGCAGGAUGAAGGCCCUCGGGUUGUAAACUGCUUUUGUACGGAACGAAAAGGUUUCUCUUAAUACGAGGAGCUCAUGACGGUACCGUAAGAAUAAGCACCGGCUAACUACGUG
rnacentral:rRNA from 1 species